UUUUUUUUUUUUUUUUUUUUUUUUUUUUUGUCUUUUUGCCAUUUCUUAGGCCACUCCUGUGGCAUGUGGAGGUUCCCGGGCUAGGGCUCUAGAAAAAGGAAAAAAAAAAAGAACAAAAUAAUGACAUUUGCAGCAAGAUGGAUGGAACUAGAGACUCUCCUACUAAGUGAAGUAAGACAGAAGGAGAAAGACAAAUACCAUAUGAUAUCACAUAUCUGGAAUCUAAAAUAUGGCACAAAUGAACCUAUCUACUGAAAAGAAACAAACUCACCGACACAGAGAACAGACUUGUGAUUGCCAAGGUGGAGGAGAAGGGAGUGGGAUGGACUGGGAGUUUGGGGUUUGUAGACACAAACUAUUGCAUUUGGAGUGGAUAAGCAAGGAGAUCCUGCUGUAUAGCCUAGGGAACUAUAUCUAGUCAUUUGUGAUGGAACAUGAAGAAGGAUAAUGUGAGAAAAAGAAUGCAUAUAAAUGUAUAAUUGGGUCACUUUGCUGUACAGCAGAAAUUGACAGAACAUUGUAAGUCAACUAUAAUAAAUAAAAUUUUUUAAAUAAAAAGUGUUUUAAAAAAGACACCUUUACCUUCCCCACAGGUAUUUAUUACCUAUGGGAGCAAAAAAUAUAUUAACAUCUUGUCAUUAAUAAGAUACAGAACAGUAACAUUUCAGCAUGCUUAACUGGUACCCAGUCAUUCCACAAUUAGGGAGUCAUCUUAUAUCUCUGGGCUGCUCCCCAGCAAAGAUAAGACUAGAAUAAAAUCUCACUGUAUUAACUGUCAAGGUAAUUUGCUUUUUUGGGGGGGGGGGAGCUGUGCCUGUGCCAUAUAGAAGUUCCCAGGCUAGGGGGUGAAUCAGAGCUGUAGCUGCCAGCCAAUGCUACAGCCACAGCAACGUGAGAUCCAUGCUGCAUCCGUGACCUACACCACAGCUCAUGACAGUGUCAGACUGCUGACCCACUGAGUGAGGCCAGGUGUCAAACCUGCAUCCUCAUGGAUACUCAUUGGAUUUGUUUCCGCUGUGCCACAAUGGGAACUCCCCAUAAUUUGCUAUUUAAGAAUAUAACAGUUCUAAUGUGUUGUGUUAUAUGAAUCUCUCUUCCCCAGAUAACACAUCCAAAUCCCUCUCUCACCAAACCUCAAACCUACACCCAGUAUGCUUCCAGACCAACACUGUUCAAGAGAAUUUUCUGCAGUGAUGAAAAUGUUCUACGGUUUAUUGUCCAAAUUCACUAGCCACAAGCCCUAUGUAGCUGUUGAACACUUGAGGUAUGGCUAGUGCAACUGGAAAACUGACUUUUUAAUUAUAUUUUAUUUUAAUUAAUAAAUGUAAACAACCCCCUAUGGUUAAUGGUUACCUUGUUAGAGCUGAGAUUAUUUCGUUAUCUGAUUUUUGCUUGAAUGCUUAGAUAAGAUUAAUUUGAGUGAACCUAUGGCACAGAACUUCAAAACAUGGGCUUUGCUUUCAGAUCACUUACUAGACAUGUGACCAUAGCAAGUUAUUUCCACUUGUUAAUUGCCAGUCCCAUCAAUCUGAAAAAACAGGGUGAAAGUCCCUUUUCUGAAAAAUAGGGUAAAUAAUAGUUCCUUUCUUAACUAACGUAGUGAGAACUAAAUGAGAAAGUGCAGGUAAAGCACCUGGCAAAAAAGCUGACAUAUAUGAGGCACAAAAUUAAUGUUUAAUUGUAGCAGAGACAACAAUGAUUAACAGUAGAUUAACUGCCCAGAUAAAAGAUGAGGAGGAAGACAUAUAUUGCAAAAGAUAACUGGAGAAUUUUUUGUUAUUUUAAGAUAUCUGGGUGCUCUUUUAUUUCUUCAUUAAUGUUUUGCAUGACUGGACUAAAUGUAAAUAAAACUGGAUUAGCACCUCGAUGUCAAAAACUCAAGAAGUUCCCGUUGCAGCACAGCAGAGGUGAGUCCAACUAGGAACCAUGAGGUUUUGGGUUUGAUCCCUGGCCUCACUCAGUGGGUUGAGGAUCUGUCAUUGCAGUGAGCUGUGGUGUGGGUUGCAGAUGCAGCUCAGAUCCCACGUUGCUGUGGCUCUGGCUAGGCCGGCAGCUACAGCUCCAAUUGGACCCCUGGCCUGGGAGCCUCCAUGUGCUGCGGGUGUGGCCCUAAAAAAAAAAACCAAAAAAAAACUCUAGAAAACUUUACCAUUGACAAACCUCCCAUUAUGAAAGUCCCUUUCUCCAGAAACUAUAGAUGUCUGAAUUUUCCAAUUUGAAUAAAAUCCCAAUUAAAAAUUAAACUAUUUCAAAGUGACUAGGCUGGUGCAUAGGAAGACUAAGCAUAACUUAUACUGAUAUUUCUUUCUAAUGCUAGUCCUUGACUUCAUUGAAGGAAUUUAUUCACAUUUCGUAACACUUCUCAUGUCUGCCAUGUCUCCUUUCUGCCUUAAUAUAUGCAACACACUGAGGAAAAUCACCCUUAAUAAGAUUUAUGUUCUGGGUGGAAAAAUCUAUGAUGGGUUUUUCCUUUCAUUGAAUUCCAUGCUGACAGGUUUCUAAAUUACUCAAAAUCUUGCAUAACAAUUGCAUAAUGUGCAAAUAUUUUAGUACAAAUUGUCUUACUAGGAAACAAAAUGUUAGCAGCCAAGCUCUGAUGAACUAGCUGUCUUUUAUAAAAAGAACUCAACUCUUUUUUUUAACCAUAUACUAAAAUUUCAAAAUAGACUUAAAUGGAAUUUUACAUGGCAAUUUAUAAAGAACAUAAUGUUGUAGAAGCAGAACCCUGCUAGGAAUAUGAAGACCUGGGUUCUAGGUUCAGCUUUGCCACUUCCUAGAUGUGCAUCAGUGUUUUAAAAGGUACCCAGAAUUUGAUUUAGUCACAUUUGGUACUAUGACAUAUAUAAAGACAAUUGCCUUGAAAGAAGAGUUUAUUACUCAUAGUUUCCCCAAAGCGUUCCCCAGAGGGAAGUGGCAUGCCAUACCAUGUCAUAUGGAGACACACCAGGGUCAGUCAGAAGGCAGAAAAAGCUAGGGAAAAGCAUGGGCCAAGUCUUUACUGUGGUUUUCAGCAAAAGGAACAGGCAAGGUGGGUAGGCAAACUAAAAGAGUUUCAAUGGGCUCUGGGCCAUAGGGGUGGUUCCCAGUUAUCCAGUAACUGGCCCUGGGGUGACUUAGGACAGGGGCGUAAUGUCCCAGAUGUUGGAACCUAAUAAAAGGAGGUGGGAGACAGAUAUUGAUUUGAGAUUGGUUGCUUGCAUAUAAAAGAAAUGCUGAAGCAAGCUGUUUGCUAUCUCUAGAAAUUAGCCAACCCUGGGAGAGGCAGUCCUUUCCCUGGGUCCACAAGUUCCUAAGACAUCAAAGCAUUCUAAAAUGUAAAUAAAAAGAAAACAAAGUACAUGCUAUCAAUGAAAAUAUUUAACCUCUGUAAACUUCAGUACCCUCAAAGUUAUAAAAAUGAGGAAAAUAAUCCCUGCAUCUUCCUUACUCACAGUCAUCAAAGAGUAAAAUGGGAUCUAGGCAGGGUGCCACUAGUAUCUUCUUGCAAAUACUCUGCUACGCUACUCUCAAAAUAAAACUACUGAAAAGUACUUAACUACUAAAACCACUAAGUUACAAAAAUCUAUUUCUGAGGCUGAAAUGUUAGCUUUGUGAAGGAGAUAUAUCUAGAGCCUCAGAUGGAAGGAGUACGUGGCAACUCAAAUCAGACCAGCUAGAGGGUAAGCUGUUACAGGAAAUCAUUAGUGCCCUGAGUGCACAGGAGAGCUAUGGGCUGAUGGUCAGUGAUCAUGGCAGUAGUGGUCCACUCCAGCAGUCCACUAUAGCCUUCGCAGGGCUCAUCAACCAUACUGGGUAACCUUGCUACUCCUGAGUGGUAACUGGAUCCUGCUAUGGAAUAAAUUACCUUGCUUUUGAUGAUUAGGAAAAGAAUCAAAAGGUAAAUCGUUUACUAUUCCCCAUGAAUGUUUUUGCCAAUUUUAUAUACAAACAGUUCAUUUGAUUCUUUGGUUAGUUUUGAUUUUUUUUCAAGUCUUGUUAUAAGUGACAUUUCCUUCUACACAGUUAAAGCUGGAGACUACUUGAAACAAAAUCAACAUAGAUAUACUUAUAAUCCAUAAGUUGCCUUUUGAAAGAAAUCAGUAAGGCAUUUGAAUUGCUCCAAGGUGGAAACUGUUGAGUAUUUGUGUGUGUGAGAGUGUGUGUGUGAUGCAUCUCUGUGAAAUACCUUAAAUAUAUGACUCUUCCAUCCAAACAUUUAUGAAAAAUGAGAAGUCUCAGAUCAAGUAUAAAAGAGGGUAGUUGUGAGAAACUGUUUAGAGAAUGGCAAUAAAAGAGCUUUUAGAGAGUUGUGAAGAGCCCUCUACUUAGUCACUGUAUGAUCCCAAGUGGCCACCUUUGUCCAUGUCACUAUCCUCAUCUAUAAAAUGGGGAUAAUGAUACUUCCUCUCUUGAGAGACAGGUAUGAAGACAUUCAAAUGUGAAAAUAAAAAGGAAAGACCAAGGAAAGAAAAAGCACUUCAGAAGUAUACUAGAAUAAAAUGUGUGUUAUGAUUUCCUUGAGUACAGAUAUGUAUGACCAAGAAAUUAAAGUACAAUUUAGCAACCUACAAACGAUCCAACUUCCUCCAUAAAAUUAUCUACUUGUUUAUAGUUACAAUUUGUGCUGCAUUUACGAGUUUACUUCCAAUCAACAGUUUACUAUUUGACAUUUCAGAAGUAUUUCUCUUCAGCAUACAUUCAUUAAACGCCUAAUAACAACAUUGUGCUAGACACACUGGAAAAAUAGUGGAAUGCAAUAACUGUCUUCAAGCCAUUGAUAGUUCAAUACUGGAGUAUAAAAAACUACAUACAAAAAUAACUGCAUUAUAGGUUGGACGUGAUGUCUAAUUAGAAAAUCCAAAAGACAGACAACAGAUUCAAGACAUAGAGGCUUCAUUUCUGACUGCAAGAUUGGAGAAGCCCUUGUGGAACAGGUCACCCCUAAGUUGAGCCUUGGAAAUUUAUAGAACUAUAACAUGAACAUGAGGGUAAAAGACACUGCAGAAAUUGUAACUAUGCAUAAGAACCCAUAAAAAAGAAAACAAAACUGGCAUAUGAU
rnacentral:lncRNA from 1 species